rnacentral:rRNA from 1 species
UACGGGAGGCAGCAAUGGGGAAUAUUGCACAAUGGGCGAAAGCCUGAUGCAGCUAUGCCGCGUGUAUGAAGAAGGCCUUAGGGUUGUAAAGUACUUUCAUCGGGGAGGAAAAACAAAACUAAUAAUUUUAUUUCUUGACGUUACCCGAAAAAGAAGCACCGGCUAACUCCGUGCCAGCAGCCGCGGUAAUACGGAGGGUGCUAGCGUUAAUCAGAAUUACUGGGCGUAAAGAGCACGUAGGUGGUUUUUUUAAGUCAGAUGUGAAAUCCCUGGGCUUAACCUGGAACUGCAUUUUGAAACUGAAAUACUAGAGUAUCGUAGAGGGAGGUAGAAUUCUAGGUGUAGCGGUGAAAUGCGUAGAUAUCUGGAGGAAUACCUGUGGCGAAAGCGGCCUCCUAAACGAAUACUGACACUGAGGUGCGAAAGCGUGGGGAGCGAAACAGGGAUUAGAUACC